UCCGGUUGAUCCUGCCAGAGGUUACUGCUAUCGAGGUUCGACUAAGCCAUGCGAGUCGAAUGUAGCAAUACAUGGCGUACUGCUCAGUAACACGUGGACAACCUGCCCUUAGGUUGGGUAUAAACCCGGGAAACUGGGUAUAAUCCCCUAUAAGUCUCGGCUGCUGGAAUGCACCGAGAUUAAAAGCUCCGGCGCCUAAGGAUGGGUCUGCGGCCUAUCAGGUAGUAGUGGGUGUAGCGUACCUACUAGCCUACGACGGGUACGGGUUGUGAGAGCAAGAGCCCGGAGAUGGAUUCUGAGACACGAAUCCAGGCCCUACGGGGUGCAGCAGGCGCGAAAACUUUACAAUGCUGGCAACAGCGAUAAGGGAACCUCGAGUGCCAGGUUACAAAUCUGGCUGUCGAGAUGCCUAAAAAGCAUUUCAUAGCAAGGGCCGGGCAAGACCGGUGCCAGCCGCCGCGGUAACACCGGCGGCUCGAGUGGUAACCGUUAUUAUUGGGUCUAAAGGGUCUGUAGCCGGCCGGAUAAGUCUCUUGAGAAAUCUGGCAGCUUAACUGUCAGGCUUUCAGGAGAUACUGUCUGGCUCGAGGCCGGGAGAGGUGAGAGGUACUUCAGGGGUAGGGGUGAAAUCUUGUAAUCCUUGAAGGACCACCAGUGGCGAAGGCGUCUCACCAGAACGGACCUGACGGCAAGGGACGAAAGCUAGGGGCACGAACCGGAUUAGAUACCCGGGUAGUCCUAGCCGUAAACGAUACUCGCUAGGUGUCGGCCACGGUGCGACCGUUGUCGGUGCCGUAGGGAAGCCGUGAAGCGAGCCACCUGGGAAGUACGGCCGCAAGGCUGAAACUUAAAGGAAUUGGCGGGGGAGCACCACAACGGGUGGAGCUUGCGGUUUAAUUGGAUUCAACGCCGGAAAUCUUACCGGGACCGACAGCAAUAUGAAGGCCAGGCUGAAGACUUUGCCGGAUUAGCUGAGAGGUGGUGCAUGGCCGUCGUCAGUUCGUACUGUGAAGCAUCCUGUUAAGUCAGGUAACGAGCGAGACCCA
rnacentral:rRNA from 1 species